rnacentral:tRNA from 1 species
AAUACUUUGGUGAAAAUAUCAUAUUUUCUCUGGGAGAAAAAGUUGCAUUAAGAGCAAGUAUUA